rnacentral:rRNA from 1 species
UACGAAGGGGGCGAGCGUUGUUCGGAUUUACUGGGCGUAAAGGGCGCGCAGGCGGCUCAUUUUGUCAGGCGUGAAAGCCCCGGGCUUAACCUGGGAACUGCGUUUGAUACGGAUGGGCUAGAGUUCGGGAGAGGAGAGUGGAAUUCCCAGUGUAGAGGUGAAAUUCGUAGAUAUUGGGAAGAACACCGGUGGCGAAGGCGGCUCUCUGGACCGAUACUGACACUGAGAGACGAAAGCUAGGGGAGCGAAUGGG